UGGAAUUGAGUGAACGCUAUUGGUAUAAAAUUGUACAAUCGUCAUGUUCCUCAGUAGAUAGGAGCAAUCUCGAAAAUAAUGUCAAGAUUGAAUGACGACUGGAGAAACUUCCCAAUGUCCUGUUUAUCUGCUUGGCCAUAAGAGCAGUACAUAUUAAAAUUGCCCAUUUGCUGGACACAGACUCGUGCAAAAUGGCAAUAAGAAGAUUUCUGGCAAGACGUGGAACCGUUGAGGUAUUUUUGGUCUGAUAAUGAAACAAAGUUGCAUGGAGCAAAUCUCGAACUGUUGGAAUAUUUGGAAGAUUUACAAAUGACGUCCCUGGUAGAAGAUAUUGCAAAUAGGGACAUAAAAUGGAAAUUGAAUCCCCCCUCAGCCCAACAUAUGGGAGGCAGCUGGAAGAGAUUAGUAGGUUGUUUCAAAAGGUUUCUAAUGGCAAUUGUGAAAGACAGGCAUCCCAAAUAGAGGUACUGCAAACAUUGUUCGCUGAGGUGGGGUAUAUUCUGAACAGUCGGCCGCUAACACACGGUUCUGCAAAUGCUCAAAAUUUAGUAAGCAUUUUCCCAAAUGAUAUACUGAUCAGUAGAGUGUCUCAAUAGAGAAUGUCUCUCAAAAAGUAUUAACAAGAUACUGAAACUAAACAUAGAAAUCAGCAUACCCAUAUGAAAGGUCUCAUGCAAAUAAUUAGAAAUUAAUAUUGUUAAAGAUGGAUUCAAUGUAAUUAAUAAAUAAAUUAAGGAAGAAAAGGCCCAGACUGAGAUUCGCGAAGGAUUCCAGACAAGUUUCAGAUAGUUCUGCCAAAACCAGUAUUUGAAUAUUCCACAAAUCAUGGAUUGAUGUUUAAUUCCUGUCAAUAAGAUUAAAGUCAUUAACAAGUUGGCUAAAUUCAAGAAAACCAUUCAAUGUGAAAACUGAAACAUCUUUGUGAAUCACCAAUGUCUCGCAAGUCUCCAGUUCCAGGAAAAUAUUCACCAUACUUAUGAAAUGACACUGUCAUCACACGAUCUGUAGUAUAAAAU